GUUUCCGUAGUGUAGUGGUCAUCAUGUUCAUCUCACACAUGAAAGGUCCCCUGGUCGAAACAGGGCGGAAACA